rnacentral:lncRNA from 1 species
AUGUCUCCUCCAUCCUUCUGGCAGCCCUUCCCAGCAUCUCGUCCCCAGGAACACGACCGGGACUCGCGGGGUCGCGGAGCUGGUUUCCCCCUGCCUCCGCAGAAGCGCCUGAGAAGCCACUCAGCCUCAGCGGGGCGCUCGGCGACUUCAGCUAACCGGUCUGCCCGGCCACGGCAAGAGCGUUGGCCAUUGGAGUGUGCGGCUGCGGAGGGAGGGGAUCCCGACUCGAGUAAAUUGAGAGCUCGACGUAGUCAGUCCCGGGCAGCAGCAAGAUGCCGAGCGCGCAGUGCAGACCCGGAGCUCCGCGAACGCAGCUGCGUCCCGCCUGAGCCAGGCUGUGGUUUCCGAGGCCCUCUCCAGCUAAAGAAAACCUGCACACACAAAAAAAAGCCUGGAUCUCUCUCCUUGAACCACCCCGGCUGCCUGUGAAGGCUCGCUCCGCCUCGCCCUCUAGCGUUCAUCUGGAGAAGCGCCGCCCGGGUGUCGGGACCGUGCGCAUCAUGGGGUCCACCGUAUCCCGCUGGUCAAGGCCCUCCACAGCCCUGUCUCGGACUAUGUCAACUACGACAUCAUCGUCCGGCAUUAUAACUACACGGGAAAGCUGAAGAUCAGCGCGGACAAGGACAAUGGCAUUAAACUGAUCUCAGUGGUGUUCAUUCUCAUCUGCUGCUUUAUCAUCCUAGAGAACAUUUUUGUUUUGCUGACCAUCUGGAAAACCAAGAAGUUCCACCGACCCAUGUACUAUUUUAUCGGCAAUCUGGCCCUCUCAGACCUGUUGGCGGGAGUGGCCUACACAGCCAACCUGCUCUUGUCUGGGGCCACCACCUACAAGCUAACCCCGCCCAG